CCCUUGUACACACCGCCCGUCACACCAUGGAAGCAAGUAACACCCGAAGCCGGUGGCCUAACCCGCAAGGGAGGGAGCUGCCGAAGGUGGGACUCGUGACUGGGGUGAAGUCGUAACAAGGUACCC
rnacentral:rRNA from 1 species